AAAUAAUGAUCACGAGAAGGGCCCCAUCUUGUCUAAAUGAAGGAACCAGACCCCAUAAAGCAGCCCCGUGGGAAGCCACUUCUCAGAAUCUUAUCCAGGACACAGAAAGGACCUGUCCUACUGAGCUCUGGAUGCUCUCUAAUCCGGUCAAUUCAGUGAUGGAAGAGUCAGUUUGGAUAAAAGAACAAUAAAUCCAACCAUUAUCUCAGAUAAUUAAGAGGUGACCGUCAUCCUCCUUGGAAUCUGAAAGGAUGAGAGUUGUAGCAGAUACCCAUAGUAAGUAAGCUGAACCGAGUUGUACACUGUGCCGAAGAAGCCACAAAUUCAGAAUCCCAAUGAGAGCUCAAACAAGCAUCAAUCGAGUGGGCAACUUCAUGAAAAUAAACAUUAGAGGAUCACAGAGCAUGUGAUGAGGGAUAAACAAAAUGCCCAUGCAGAGGCUGCUACUCACGAAACAAACAGAAGCUAAUGAAAGAAGCCAGAACCCUUGGCCAUCCAUCUAUGACACUGGGAGAAAUAAAAGGAUAGAGACAGUCGCCAGAGGCAGGGGCAGUGGAAGCUAUGGAAAUGGUCUGUGGCAUGACUAUGGAUACAUGACUAUCUGCACUUACCAAAACCCAUGCAGCUGCAUACAACAAAGAGUAUUUACUGUAUGUAUUAAAAUUAAUCCCACAAGGUGUAUGUGUAUGAGGGAAUAGGAAUACAGCUGUAAUUAAAUAUCUUAUAAAUAAC
rnacentral:lncRNA from 1 species